rnacentral:rRNA from 1 species
AGUGGCGCACGGGUGAGUAACGCGUGGGUAAUCUACCCUCAUGUCGGGAAUAACACUUCGAAAGGAGUGCUAAUACCGGAUAAGACCACGAGAGCUUCGGCUCUUGAGGUAAAAGGUGGCCUCUACUAGUAAGCUACUGCUUGAGGAUGAGCCCGCGUCCUAUUAGCUAGUUGGUAAGGUAACGGCUUACCAAGGCUACGAUAGGUAGCUGGUCUGAGAGGAUGAUCAGCCACACUGGAACUGGAACACGGUCCAGACUCCUACGGGAGGCAGCAGUGAGGAAUUUUGCGCAAUGGGGGCAACCCUGACGCAGCAACGCCGCGUGAGUGAAGAAGGCCUUCGGGUCGUAAAGCUCUGUCUAGUGGGAAGAACCUCUUUCCGGCCAAUACCCGGGAAGACUGACGGCACCACUGAAGGAAGCACCGGCUAACUCCGUGCCAGCAGCCGCGGUAAUACGGAGGGUGCGAGCGUUAUUCGGAAUCAUUGGGCGUAAAGCGCGUGUAGGCGGCUUAGUAAGUUAGAUGUGAAAGCUCAGGGCUUAACCCUGAAAGUGCAUUUAAAACUGCUAGGCUUGAGUCCCCGAGGAGGGAGGUGGAAUUCCCAGUGUAGAGGUGAAAUUCGUAGAUAUUGGGAGGAACACCGGUGGCGAAGGCGACCUCCUGGACGGUGACUGACGCUGAGACGCGAAAGCGUGGGUAGCAAACAGGAUUAGAUACCCUGGUAGUCCACGCCGUAAACGAUGGGUACUAGGUGUAGGGGGUAUUGACCCCCCCUGUGCCGAAGCUAACGCAUUAA